rnacentral:rRNA from 1 species
ACGGGUGCGUAACGCGUAUGCAAUCUGCCUUUCACAGAGGGAUAGCCCAGAGAAAUUUGGAUUAAUACCUCAUAGUAUUAUUGGGUGGCAUCACUUAAUAAUUAAAGUCACAACGGUGAAAGAUGAGCAUGCGUCCCAUUAGCUAGUUGGUAAGGUAACGGCUUACCAAGGCAACGAUGGGUAGGGGUCCUGAGAGGGAGAUCCCCCACACUGGUACUGAGACACGGACCAGACUCCUACGGGAGGCAGCAGUGAGGAAUAUUGGUCAAUGGACGCAAGUCUGAACCAGCCAUGCCGCGUGCAGGAUGACGGUCCUAUGGAUUGUAAACUGCUUUUGUACGAGAAGAAACAACAUUACGUGUAAUGUCUUGACGGUAUCGUAAGAAUAAGGAUCGGCUAACUCCGUGCCAGCAGCCGCGGUAAUACGGAGGAUCCAAGCGUUAUCCGGAAUCAUUGGGUUUAAAGGGUCCGUAGGCGGUUUAGUAAGUCAGUGGUGAAAGCCCAUCGCUCAACGGUGGAACGGCCAUUGAUACUGCUGAACUUGAAUUAUUAGGAAGUAACUAGAAUAUGUAGUGUAGCGGUGAAAU